AAUACCUAAAUCUUUAGUUUUCAUUAUGAGAACAGAUUUGGUCAAAAUGACGAUAUACUUGUACACUACAAUGUUUUGGUCAUCACGAAAGCAGAGCUUUUUGCCCUCCAGUGUAGUGCGCAUGCGCGGGAUUACCGGACGUAAAUAAUAACAUUCAACGUGCCUAUAUGUGUUCCC